rnacentral:rRNA from 1 species
GUCCAUGCCGUAAACGUUGGGCACUAGGUGUGGGGACGAUUCCACGUUUUCCGUCGCCGUAGCUAACGCAUUAAGUGCCCCGCCCUGGGGAGGUACGGCCGCAAGGCUAAAACUACAAAGGAAUUGACGGGGGCCCGGCCACAAGACGGCGGAGCAUGCGGAUUAAUUCGAUGCAACGCGAAGAACCUUACCAAGGCUUGACAUGGACUGGAAAUAACCUGGAGACAGGUGCCCCGCCUUGCGGUCGGUUCACAGGUGGUGCAUGGUUGUCGU